rnacentral:misc_RNA from 1 species
AACGCACAUUGCGCCCUCUGGUAUUCCGGGGGGCAUGCCUGUUCGAGCGUCAUCAAAACCACUCAGGUUGGGGGUUUUCGAAACCCCAGCUUGGUCUUGGGCACGAGGGAUCAGAACCCUCCGCCUGGAAUGCAGUGGCGGAUAUUCCGGCUUGGCAAGAGCGUGAUAAACACGUCGUUCGCGAUUGGAGGCCGGAAUGCGCAGCCAUAAUAAACCCCCAAACCAUGUCUCAAGUUUGACCUCGGAUCAGGUAGGGAUACCCGCUGAACUUAA